AUUGAACGCUGGCGGCAUGCUUUACACAUGCAAGUCGAACGGCAGCGCGGACUUCGGUCUGGCGGCGAGUGGCGAACGGGUGAGUAAUAUAUCGGAACGUACCCAAGAGUGGGGGAUAACGUAGCGAAAGUUACGCUAAUACCGCAUACGAUCUAAGGAUGAAAGCAGGGGAUCGCAAGACCUUGUGCUCCUGGAGCGGC
rnacentral:rRNA from 1 species